CUCUCUCUCUCUCUGGAUAUAUGAGCACUUAGCCAAGUUGAUGAUUUUUUACAACACCAUCGUACUAUAUAGUUAAGAGUCUCGGUUUAUAACGCGUUCAUAUUAAACAUGAUUUGCCAGAUCAUACCACGAACGGGGUGGACUAGCCUUCUGAUGAAUGUGUGAUUAUAUUCUCCCUAUUUCUUCCUCCCCCCCCCCCCCACCCCCAAAAGCGAUUCACUUACCCUGGCGGUGGUCCUCCGCUCCACUCGACACACACACAUCUACACACACAGGAAAUCGGUCUCAUCUAAAGGAAAAUCUGAAAUCAACAUUUUAUCUGCACAAGAUAAAGGCACACACAUAUAGGGCUCAGAGCUCAGGAGCCCUGAGUCUGGACGAAGAAGGGGGAAAAAGGGGGUAUCAGGACAAGAAAUCCUGUUUCCAGCUGUGGUAUGAGGUCUGGCGUGGAAAGGAGCAAAAUAUUCUACUCAUCCCCAAGACUAGGAUUCACCCCUCCUCCCUUUCUCUCUUGUUUUGACUUACGUAUGUUUAUAGUAGGAGCAACUGGCUCACAACUAGAGCCAUUGCCGAGAGUGCGUUUAAAGGGUGGCUGCUUUACUCCACUAUAAUUCAGUUCCCGCAUGUGAGCCUCAGCCCCGCGUCACCUGGAUACUGCAGACAAACAGCGUUAAAUAUGCAUAAGGAACAGUUCAUUUCUUAAAGGAGAACUUACCCGGACAGAAAGUUCGCGGCCCAACAGUAGGAGCACAGACGUGGACAUGACUUGUCCCUCCCUGUCAUUCUCUGAGGGAGGCCAUGCUUCCUCACUGCCAAGUACCUGUAAAGAUUUCAUGUCUUGUGGAAUAGGCCCUCACUUUACAGCUAACAUGGUGGAAAGCAAAUGAGAGUAUCUGAGAGAAAAAGAGACAAAGAGAUUUUUGGUUUAAGCAGAACACAUCUGAAUUGCGGAUGUACUAUUAUCAGUAUUAAGCUCUGAGUAUUAAAAUGCUGAUUGUUCCAGUCCUCAUUACCUUAUUUUACCUCUGCCUUUUCCCCAUUGCAUGCUUUGCUUUACCUCCAUUGUCUGUCUGCUUAACUUGUAAAAUGCUAAAAGAAGUUUUGAUAUUUACCUGUUUAUGAUUAAAUUGCAAAAUGA